AUUGCGCUGUCUCGUUCAGCAGCUGCUCAGAAGAAGUUCGCUGAUCGCCAUAGGGGUGCGACCCCUUCUUAUGCUCCGGGUGAUAGGGUGUGGUUGUCCUCCAAGAACCUCCGUCUCAGGGUCCCCUCCAUGAAGUUUGCUCCCAGGUUUCUUGGUCCCUACAAAGUGUUACGUAGGAUUAACCCCGUUUCCUACUCCCUGGACUUACCUCCUUCCAUGCGUAUUCCGCACACGUUUCACGUUUCGCUUUUGAAGCCCUUGCUGUGUAACCGGUUCUCUCGUCCUCUCGGACGGCCCGUUUCCCCUCGUACUGUCUCUAGUGACGUGUUCGAAGUAGCUGCCCUUCUCGACUCUCGUGUUUCUAGGGGUCGGCUGCAAUACCUG